rnacentral:tRNA from 1 species
UCCUUCUUAGCUCAGUUGGUAGAGCGCGUCACUAGUAACUUGGUUUAUAUGACGAGGUCAGUCGUUCAAGUCGGCUAGAAGGAA